rnacentral:rRNA from 1 species
GACGUAGGGCGCAAGCGUUGUCCGGAUUUAUUGGGCGUAAAGAGCUCGUAGGCGGCUUGUUGCGUCGUCCGUGAAAACCUGUGGCUCAACUACAGGCUUGCGGUCGAUACGGGCGGGCUGGAGUUCGGUAGGGGAGACUGGAAUUCCUGGUGUAGCGGUGAAAUGCGCAGAUAUCAGGAGGAACACCGGUGGCGAAGGCGGUGUCUGGGCCGGCACUGACGCUGAGGAGCGAAAGCGUGGGUAGCAAACAGG